GACGAACGCUGGCGGCGUGCCUAAUACAUGCAAGUCGAACGCAGUGGGGACGGGUGAGUAACACGUGGGUAACCUCCCAUCAGAGGGGAUAACACUUGGAAACAGGUGCUAAACCGAUACUGAUGGAUGGACCCGCGGUGGAUUAGCUAGUUGGUGAGGUAACGGCUCACCAAGGCCAGGAUGCAUAGCGGCCCUGAGAGGGUGAGCGGCAAAACUGGCACUGAGACACGGCCCAGACGCCGACGGGAGGCAGCAGUCGGGAAUCUUCGGCAAUGGAGGAAAGUCUGAUCGAGCAACGCCGCGUGAGUGAAGAAGGUUUUCGGAUCGUAAAACUCUGUUGUUAGAGAAGCGGUAUCUAACCAAAAAGCCACGGCUAACUACGUGCCAGCCGCCGCGGUAAUUC
rnacentral:rRNA from 1 species